rnacentral:rRNA from 1 species
CAAGUCGUGGGGCAGCAGCUCUGUAGCAAUACAGAGGCUGGCGACCGGCAAACGGGUGCGGAACACGUACAGAACCUUCCUUCGAGCGGGGAAUAGCCCGGAGAAAUCCGGAUUAAUACCCCAUAGCAAAUCAGAAAGGCAUCUUUUUGAUUUUAAAGAUUUAUCACUUGAAGAUGGCUGUGCGCCUGAUUAGGUAGUUGGCGGGGUAACGGCCCACCAAGCCUUCGAUCAGUAACUGGUGUGAGAGCACGACCAGUCACACGGGCACUGAGACACGGGCCCGACUCCUACGGGAGGCAGCAGUAAGGAAUAUUGGUCAAUGGACGCAAGUCUGAACCAGCCAUGCCGCGUGGAGGAUGAAGGUCCUCUGGAUUGUAAACUUCUUUUAUCUGGGAAGAAACCCACGGUUUCUACUGUGGUUGACGGUACCAGAUGAAUAAGCACCGGCUAACUCCGUGCCAGCAGCCGCGGUAAUACGGAGGGUGCAAGCGUUAUCCGGAUUCACUGGGUUUAAAGGGUGCGUAGGUGGGUUGGUAAGUCAGUGGUGAAAUCCCCGAGCUUAACUUGGGAACUGCCAUUGAUACUAUCAGUCUUGAAUAUUGUGGAGGUUAGCGGAAUAUGUCAUGUAGCGGUGAAAUGCUUAGAGAUGACAUAGAACACCAAUUGCGAAGGCAGCUGGCUACACAUAUAUUGACACUGAGGCACGAAAGCGUGGGGAUCAAACAGGAUUAGAUACCCUGGUAGUCCACGCCCUAAACUAUGGAUACUCGACAUACGCGAUACACUGUGUGUGUCUGAGCGAAAGCAUUAAGUAUCCCACCUGGGAAGUACGAUCGCAAGAUUGAAACUCAAAGGAAUUGGCGGGGGUCCGCACAAGCGGUGGA